rnacentral:misc_RNA from 1 species
AAGUCGUAACAAGGUAACCGUAGGUGAACCUGCGGUUGGAUCAUUACAAAAUGAUUUCCUAUGGAGUCUCGCUUGCAAAGGCGAUCGACACCUAGGACAACAACCCUUUGUGCACUGUAAUGUUUUUUGGGUCUGGCUUUUGUCAGGCCCUGGAGUAUAAACCUUUGAAAUUUAGACUGAACGUUUUUUAUAAAUUAUAAACAACUUUUGACAACGGAUCUCUUGGCUCUC